rnacentral:tRNA from 1 species
CCUGAUAGCUUAAUUAGUAAAGAAUCUGCCUGCAAUGCAGGAGACCCCAGUUUGACUCUUGGGUCAGGA